GGCGGAGAACGGCGGGUCAGAGAGAAGGCAGCCGGGUCCCCCUCAGUGGAAGGGAGUGGCGAUGCCCAAAGGAUGAUAGUAAGCUUACUGUGACAUAGCUCCCGGAGCCGCAGCACGAGCCUUGUGAACCUUGGAAGCCCGUUUUCCGCGCAGUCACUAACUCGCUUAGUCACCCUGUGUAAAAGUUAUUCUGGGAUGACACCUGCCUGGGAAGUCUCACCUUUCCCCCCACCUCCUCCUGUCUGCGUAUUGUUCUGUAGCACCCCGUGCGCACCUUGAUUGUAGCGCUUAAGCAAGGCAAUUUACUUCUAUAGAAGGGUGCGCCCUCACAGAUGGAGCAAUGAGAUGGAUUUCACCGUGUUAGGAUGGCUUCGAUCUCCUGACUUCAUGAUCUUCCCGCCUCGGCCUCCCAAAGUGCUGGGAUUACAGGUGUGAGCCACCGCAUCUGGCCAGAAGUUAAGUAUAAAAGUAGAAGACAAAGAAUUGAACAUACUGACAUUGAUUCUUUGAAGAGAAAUUUAGAACUCAUAUCUAACACCAGCCUCCAAUUGAUUGAGCCAAUUCCUUCAAAUAAAUCUCUCUCUGCAA
rnacentral:antisense_RNA from 1 species